rnacentral:rRNA from 1 species
AUAUUGGACAAUGGGCGAAAGCCUGAUCCAGCCAUGCCGCGUGAGUGAUGAAGGCCUUAGGGUUGUAAAGCUCUUUCAGUAGGGAAGAUAAUGACGGUACCUACAGAAGAAGCCCCGGCUAACUUCGUGCCAGCAGCCGCGGUAAUACGGAGGGUGCGAGCGUUGUUCGGAAUUACUGGGCGUAAAGCGCGCGCAGGCGGAUGUGCAAGUCGAAGGUGAAAUCCCGGGGCUCAACCCCGUGACCGCUCUCGAUACUGCAUGUCUAGGGACCGGUAGAGGUCGGUGGAAUUCCCGGAGUAGCGGUGGAAUGCGUAGAUAUCGGGAGGAACACCUGUGGCGAAGGCGACUACCUGGACUGAUACUGACACUGAGGUGCGAAAGCGUGGGGAGCAAACAG